CGGCUAACCCCGUGCCGGGCGCCGCGGUAAUACGGGGGGUGCAAGCGUUAUCCGGAUUUACUGGGUUUAAAGGGUGUGUAGGCGGGCUUUUAAGUCAGUGGUGAAAUCUCCGGGCUCAACCCGGAAACUGCCAUUGAUACUAUUAGUCUUGAAUUCUGUUGAGGUAGGCGGAAUAAGUCAUGUAGCGGUGAAAUGCUUAGAUAUGACUUAGAACACCAAUUGCGAAGGCAGCUUGCUAAACAGAUAUUGACGCUGAGGCACGAAAGCGUGGGGAUCAAACAGGAUUAGAUACCCUGGUAUC
rnacentral:rRNA from 1 species